AUAAAUAAUAUAUUCGAAUCCAGUAAAUCAAAUGUGUACUGUGUUAAAAUCAUGAACUCCAAUAUUUAAAGUUCAAAAUCCAGAUCUACUUCUGAUUAUAUCCAUAUGUACCACCUUACGCAUACUGACUACAAGAUCACUGAAGGGUUGUUCGGUAGAUUGUGUAGACAUGCGAUUUUUGAUCCUCCCCGAGAUUUUAUACUUUUACGCUUUUAGAUAUUCAUUUAGGUCUAACAUCGCUAUUUAACUAGUUUUGGCUCUUUUAAGUUAUUUUGUCACAAAAUUGAAAAUUAUAAAAAUAUUUUCUUUUAUUUUGUUAAUCGGUAUUUUAUUUAUUUAAGUUCAGUAGUAUUUUUAUAGUGGUAUUAUCUUUCGUGCGCAUUUCUAUUUUUAGUAUAAUCUUCUAAAAAUAAAAAAAAGUAGCUUUAGUUCAAUAUUUAUUCCAUUUUUAUAAUCUAUUUUCUUAAGUAAUAUUAAUUAGUAAUUUAAUAGUAUAUCUUGUUUGCUAUACUAUUUUUAUAUAUAAAAAAGAAUAGGGAAUAGAAUUAAUUUUUAUCUUAUUUAUGGUCCAAUUAAAACCUAGAUCCAAAUUUAGCAAGGGGCACAAUUUUUAAGCCCAACAAGACCCAUUUCUUCCCUGACCAUCUCCUUGAUUAGAAGACAAAGACCUUCUUCCUCUAGAGAGAGAUGGAGAAAAUAACGCAACACUAUCUGCCGCCAACCACCACCUGAACGCAGCCAAAAACCAAUGAACUCUCCUCCUCUCCAAAACGCCUAAGCUGUUGCUCCCUCUGCUUCUCUUCAUAAAACAAAAAUAGAAUCGUCCAUCACCUAGCUGUAGAAACAGGGAACUCCAUAAUCAACUUCCAGCCUUCACCUCUCCACACCAGCGAUCCUCUUCUUUCUACACACACAAAACAACCUACUUCAUCUCCAGCCACCAAGCUGCCGGAAAACACGACCCCUCUUCAAAAACUGAGGCGGCAGAUCACUCCUAAGACGCAGCAGUCGGACCUUGUCCACAGAACACGCGCACAGAGAAGUAGACGAGGACGUCCAUCGUGGUUGUUCAAGAAUUUUAUCACCUUGUUUUGUUUGUAAAUUUCAAUUUUGGGAUCUGAUAAUUGGAAAAACAAAGAAAUAUUUUCAGUUUCUUUCUUCAUUUUAAUUUUGGAAUUUCUUUUAAAAUAUGGAGUUCGAUUGCGUUCAAGGUGUCGCUCGCAACUCGGUUCGUGAUCCCACUUGAGUUUGAUCGAUGUCUCGAGUUUUCAUUGUAGCGUCCGCUCCAUUCUGUCCGUGUACUGCUGAAAAUAUCAUCUUGAUUUUCCGUUGCAAUUGCUGCUAAAGUUAUAUAUUGGAAAGCGGUCUCAAGUUCAAUUCUUCCCACUCUUACUUCUAUUUUGGAGUCGAUUUCCAAUGUGAUAUGAAUAGUGUUCUUGACAAUAUUUUCUUUGGUUGAAGAUUAUUUAAUGCCUGUCUAUUUCAAUGUUAUAUCCGAAUUAUUUGCAGUAGCCUCAAACAGAAUUAAGUGAUUUUGUUUGCCCUUUAGGAGUUAGUGACGUUAAAUUUUGUUCACAUGGCAAUUAAGCCACUAUAUUUAUUAUAUUAUUUCUUGUUUGAUGC
rnacentral:lncRNA from 1 species